rnacentral:tRNA from 1 species
CCCGCGAUAGCUCAGUUGGUAGAGCGGAGGACUGUAGUAGUCAGCUAGUAAUCCUUAGGUCACUGGUUCGAAUCCGGUUCGCGGGA